CAAAGACACAUGAGUCAAAUGGGAUCUUUCGGUUGAUUUUGGUCAUGUACUUUCAGACACUCACACAGCAACAGCAGAUGAAGACAAUGCAGAGGCCCUGCAGCACACCAGCGGUCCCCACCACCCAGGUCAGACGCAGAAACAAGAUGACGCCAAAGAUGUUCUGCAAGCACGGCAGGUAGACGCCCAUGAAAGUCCCCAUCUGCGGCGACUGAGGAGGUAAAGACCGAACAUUCAAUGAAGGUUUCUGCCAUUACCACACACCAAACUGAAAUUAAUGCAAUGUUUUCUAGCAUGCAAUGUUGAAAUAGCGAUGUCAGGAUAGAGCAAAAUCUCCUUUUUACAACACAACAGCCUUAUCUCUGGCUGGGGGGUCCUUAUCAGCAAGAUUGCCAUGCAGGGCAGGCUCACACUUUCACUUAAGACAAAUUUUCAUCCAUCAAUCAGAGUAUUUCACCAAAUCAGAUUGUGAGGAAUUCACAGUGGCUUCCUACUACAACCAUGCCACCAUAUUGUACCACAAACAAUCAGGCAUGAGCAUUGAAAUGGACACUGAAAAUCACUAGAAUUUCUGUUUAUUUCAGAAAACACGGUUCUUAGGUGUACAUGGGGCUCUUGUAAAGAGAUUGGAAGGAGCAAAACUCAUCCCAUUUCUAAAACUGAAGACAAACUCAGAGAAGUGUAUUGGAUCAAAGCUUGUGGAAGACCGCAUUUUCAACUGAACAUGAAAAUCAACAAGCACACGGCGAUAUGUUUCGAAGGUUAGUUCAGUAACUGAACAAUUAAAGGAACGUUAAGGAAAUCCUAUCGAUACAGCAUUACGUCCAUGAAUACAAAGGAUGACACGGUUUACUUUGCUCUAAUAGUUGUUUUGAUUGUCAACAACACAGAGACCUAUGUUUCUAGCUACAGCCUACAGGCCUACCAAAGAAAUAUAUUUUUUUAUUGAAUGGUAAAAGGUAACUUGUGGUGGAACACAACAAUUUUUACGUAACACUCCUAUAAUGUGACUAUCAAUCACGGUGAUUACAUUUAGUAACAAUGAAAGCAUGAGAUAUCUUCAAUUCUUCCCCAAGAAAUUUGAAUGGGCAGUCUAUGUGCUGGCUCAUCUUUCUGCAUUGACUGCAAGGACUUCACAUUCACAUGCACAUCACAAUUUCUGCCUUCCAAACACAAAUUCCAUGAAAGUAGCCUUUGGUUAAGUAGUUUAUCCCUCUCUCAAGUGAUCACUGCGAUCGAUUUUCAGUAUAGGAAAGCAAAGUUAUUCUAAUUUUGUCUGAAAUGCAAGCAAGUGUUUGCUGAUCGCCUGCCAUCUUCGAGAAAAGCAUGUGGGACAAGACAACAGUAUACGAGCUUAACAUUCAUUGGACCCGUCCACUUCGGUACGGCUUGCAGAGGAAACUCUUGAUGAAGACAAUAUUUAGUUUUUUUACUUCUACCCAUUCAGGAACUGAUUGUCUCUGUCUGUCAAUCUGUGUUUAGUUUUGCCCUAGGCAGCCUGCCACUGUCAGUUGGUAUCCCAAUGGAAGGCGACCAAAAAGUGUUUCGGAAUUUAGCUCUUCCUUUUGGUACAGUAAUACCUGAAAAAUAUGUUUCAUCUAUGAAUUUCAGAUUGUAUAAAGGAUUAAUUGUUACCUUGCUGACUUUCUUCUUUUCACCGAUGCUCUCAGCCUCCUCGUGCUCCUUGGCCCCCUGCGUCAAAUUGGUGUAGUUGGCCAGCCGACUGAGCAGAGACGACACUUUAGGCCGGGUGUCCAUCUCCUCCUGUGUUUGUGUGUGAGAGAGGCAGGAUGACGCUGUCAACAACGAAGACAUCGGAUGUCACACUUUUCACAAACCUCAAAAAGGGCCAGGUUUCUGUCGUACAAGUCAUCAUCAUCCACGCCAUGGCUGUUGUUGAUAUACACGCUGGAGAUUUUAGAAUUUCCAUCCCCUGCAAAGGCAGAAGAAAGCAAAACUGAAAGCGAGGGAUGGCCAUUUAGCUCAAAUGGACGGGAGCGUGUGUUGUUUCUAGGCCAGCAGGUAGAUCAGCAACAGCAGCACCUGAGUCAGCAACAUGACUUUCCUCUAUGCCACACUAAAACUCACACAGGGGUCACAUUCUCAUACUGCCUUUUUUGCUUGUCAAAACCCAUCAUCUCAAGACCGUGUUAAAGUCAACACAACACUGGUUAAUAAUCAGACGCUGAGAUUUGGUAGGAAAAGAUUAAUGGACACACACAUGCUAUCAUAGAGGUGAACCAGUUGAUCCGGCUGGACAACUAAUUUAUGUCAUACUGAUUAGACUUUGGCCUUCUACUUUACGCAAAAGACAAUUCAUCAAAUAAAAGUUUGGUUUUGGACAUCAGAGGUCACCACACCUGUGUAGAAUGCACCUGGCAUCACUCUUUGGAGACGAGGAGCACCACGCUACUCCGAGGGCUUCUUUCGCAACUGAGGGACGAUGUAGAAAUGCUGUGCACCACGCUCGUAGGGAUUAAGCGCCUUCAUUUCUAUUUACGGAAGCUUAUCAAAACUGUGUGGGACAUUCUUACUCCAUACUAUGCCUAAGUGGAUCAUGGUAACGUCACUGUUGUUAAAUCCUUUGUGUGAACAAGCAGGGAAGGCAAGUGUUGACUUAAUAUCUCACAAGAAAACUUUUGCUGGCUCUUGGCUCAAAUGCUGAGUAAGGAAACCAAAAAAAAGUGCUUUUUCAACAAACAUGGUUGAAAGCAGAACUUGUCCCUUUGCCUAGCUGCGACUUCCAUGGUGGUGUGACAAGGUUAAGACAAACAUACAGUAACUAUACUCCCCAAGUCAUUGACCAUUUGCCUAAUGAUUAGAUAACUUUGAAAAUAUUGGUGUGUGUAUAUUGUAUGUCUUCAUAGCAUUUUGACGACAACUCAUAUGAGGCACUACAAACGUCUUUAACAUUCAUUCAGUUUGAAAGGUAAUUAAUUCUGAUGUAGCUGCUCAAAUCCAAAUCCAUUUUGGAUUAGCAGAACAAAUAAGGCAGGCUGUCAUGCACACAAGAAUGUAUUUUCUCUCCUCAUGUGCUCACCUUGCUCCAUAUUGCUGUGGCAUGGAAUUUCUGUCCCGCCUCCUCCCGCUGUUGUCGUGAGUCCUCCAGAGGCAUCACUAUGAGGCUCGCUUCGGCUGACGCUUUCCCGGGAACCAAAGCGUACGUGAGUACCAGAACGAGACCCGAUUUCAGGCGAGGUGUCUGGCAGCCCAGGGAGGUCCUCUGCCUUGGUGGGUGUCACUGUGAACCGUACGGACGCCAUGGCGAGGCCCUUGGAAAAGAAAGGGGUGCAGGGAGGGAAAAGGGUGAGGGGGUUGGUUGGUGCGAGGUGUCACAGGCACGGCUGAGGCAAAGUGAGCUGGGCUUAUGCGCUCAGGUGACGGUCAGGUAAUUGUUUUUUUUCCAGCAUUGAUUCUCCAUGAAGGCAACAGUUUCUUUUGUUGUCUCUUUUUUGCUGGGGCAGGGACAUGGGCAGAUGCAGGAACAGGGGUUGGUGCAAAUGCAAGGGCAAGGAGUUGUCACAGGUUCCCAAGCUAGGACAGGAGAAGGCACAAAGACAGGGGUAGUAUUAGGGGCAUGUAUAUAGGCAGGAGCAGGGCCAAGGGGUAGUUAUAGGGAAAUGAGCAGGGAAGUAAAAGGGUCAGGGUCAUGGUCAAGGGAAAGGUGUUGUUGUCAUAGGUGCAACAGCAAGGAUGAGACGACAGUGGCCAGAAGAAAAUGUUUGUGUCAUUGAGAACGUAAGGAACAACGUUAUGGGAACCAAUAUUGCAGCAGGAAAAGGAACAUUGGUCAAGGAUUGCAGCACGACGAACAGGAACAAGGGGACACGGUUGGUUAUGUUCACGUGUCAUCAGAAGUGAAGGUCAAUCCCAGAAAAAAAGACACAAAAUGAAGCAAAAGUUAGUUUAAAAUCAGAAAUUGUUUGUGUCAGCAGUGAGAGGUAUGACCCACUGCAACUCACUGAGAUCUUAGAUAAACAUUGACAAACAAUGACAUAUUUCAAUGCAAAUUAGGACGUACAUUAUUUAUUAGUGACUGAGUGCGAAGCCCCUAAAAAUCUAAAACAUCUACAAAAAUGACUGACCGAGGCAUUCACUCAAACAGAACGACGUCAAACAAUAACUGGGGGGUGUGAGGUUUAGCCUGACAUCCGUGGCAGGUGGACCAGAUGCGGCUCGGCUGACUUGGAAAAUUACUCAAGGAGAGCGGUUCUAACCGGUCCGGCCAGUUACCGCUGGCUUGGGGAAAAGAAAGCAGAGGCUUGCUUGUUUUGCAAGGCUGUAUUAAUUUAAGAGGAGGCAGCUAGUUUCCAUCUGCUGCAAUACUCAUUUGUCAUGUCACAUUUCUUUGUAUUUUUUUUGACAAAAAAACAACUGUGGAAUGAGUGUUGGGUGACAGGGCCCUUUUUAUGUUGAAAAAAACCUCAGCGACGCUGACAGUCACAACUUCUGCAUAUUUACCCUGAGGAAUCAAUUCUUCACUUGUCAUGUCUGCAUGUUCUAGUUAAUAGACGGCCAAGGUUAAAUAAUGUUUAAUGACUUUCUAAUGUUGAGCUAUUCAGGGUAGGUUUCUUUUAACAGAGGUAGCCAGGAUAUCAACAAACAUCCUGAAAAAAAUUUAAAUACCAGUUCUAAAUUAAAUUGAAUUGAUUAUGUGAAAUAAGUAUUUGAUCCAAGAAUUCUGACACUGAUAGAACCACUCUAAUCAGUCCAGUCUUGUUUGCAGAAACAAAGGAAUGGCUCCAGAAGAAGCACAUCAGAUCCUCUGGUGCCUUUGCCGGUCUCAUGACCUGCAUCUCAUAAAAAAACCAACACUGUGACGGAAGCAGGAUUUGCCAAGCAAGAGCCUCAAAACUGUGAAGAUUUGAAGAGUAAUCUGAAAGGAUGAGUGGACGAAAAACACCUGAUGAGCUGCUGGCUCUCCGCCAAACUGUGGUCCGCAUGGAGAGACCGGAGCAGAUGCGGAGGAAAAGACAAGGCUAUGGAGCUAGCGUUAAGCGUGGGAAUAUAUGAGCUUCACGUAGCUGAAUGAGCACGAAUCGGACACGUCAGUCUCCCUGAACAGACUCCCGCUCAUCCGCGCGGAUCGGACACUGGCCAGGGGCUAGGGAGCAGUCUACGAAGGACUCUCUUAAUUGCUUUGUUGGGUCUGUUCCGGUGUAUGGCUGUGCUGCCAUGCCCGCACCUCACCUCAGCAGAUGAUGGCGUGGAGCACAGCAGAGGCCACCAUGGUGUGUAUGGGUGUUGAGAUUGUGUUUUUGCUUUGUUUUGUUGUUCAAAAGUUAUUUUUUUCAAAAUAAAUAAGAAAUUAAUAUUUUUCUGUAGAAUUUAACAAAAUAACUCAUGUGCAAAUAACACAAGAAUGUAACAUUUAGUAACAUGUGACAUUAACUUAUUACAAGUCUUAUGAAAACCUAAAAUUGAAAAUCUCAGAAAAUGUAAGGUUUUAAAAACUGUAAACAAAGAUCUUGAAAAUGAUAAAUAAAAGCUUGACAUAUCUCA